rnacentral:rRNA from 1 species
AACGCGAAGAACCUUACCAACCUUUGACAUGGGACGUAUGAUUUCCAGAGAUGGAUUUCUUCACUUCGGGUGGCGUCCACACAGGUGCUGCAUGGCUGUCGUCAGCUCGUGUCGUGAGAUGUUGGGUUAAGUCCCGCAACGAGCGCAACCCUCAUCUUCAGUUGCCAUCAUUUAGUUGGGCACUCUGAAGAAACUGCCGGUGACAAGCCGGAGGAAGGUGGGGAUGACGUCAAGUCCUCAUGGCCCUUACGGGUUGGGCUACACACGUGCUACAAUGGCGGUGACAAUGGGUUGCAAGCGUGCGAACGCAAGCUAAUCUCAAAAAGCCGUCUCAGUUCGGAUUGCACUCUGCAACUCGAGUGCAUGAAGUCGGAAUCGCUAGUAAUCGUGGAUCAGCAUGCCACGGUGAAUACGUUCCCGGGCCUUGUACACACCGGCUAC